GUCGAUAGGAACCGGAACCGUUUGGUUAGCAACAUUCUUCAAAAUAUCUUCUUUUGUGUUCAAGCAGGAGAAGGUAAUACAUACACGUUUGGAAAGACAUGAGGGUACACCUUUCUGGAUAGUUAUUUUUUGAUGUGUCGAUGAAAAACGAGUCAUUCUGCCCCGGUGCACAUGCUCUCUGUCUACAUCCACCUCCCACCUUCUCUCCUGAAGGACAGAACACGUAAAUCUCAGUGGGAUGGUGGGAAGUAUCGUCUGGCCCAUCCUAAGGUGCGUCUCCGCUUAUAAACAACAUGCAAAGCACCCGGAUUCACUGUGCUUUCUCAAGUCAUCUUUACCUCUAAAGCCUUUGAAAUGCCUCGAGCUGCUUUUUCACUUCAUUUGUUUUUUUUGUAUGCCGUGUUUUUGUUUGUUUUGCUCCUGAAAGUGCACCUUUUUUGAAUUUGGGCUUGAAUAGGCAUCUUUUACAGUGGGGGUAGUGAAGAGAUGUUUUGCCAGUCCGGUUUGGCUUUAAGGCAGCUGUUUUUACACUCGUUUUAUGAGUAUGUUUAAUUACCAUCCACACAUUUAUGCUCAGUAAAAUGCUCAGUUAAAGCGACCGUUAAAAAUCUACCUUAUUUGCUGUU